rnacentral:lncRNA from 1 species
UGUUGUUCAUGUACUUCAAGAAGCCUAUUCAAGAAUUUAGAAGAUGAAUUAAGGUUAAGGAAGAAGCUCUUCAGCCUCUAUGGACCUAACUCAUCUAUGAUAACGGGUGCCCAAAAAAAUCUAGAAAUGGACCAACCCAUUGAGUGCAGAUGGGCUGAUCCAAAGGAAAAUAUUAAAUAAAAAAAACCCAAACCAUAUAAAUGGGAUGUAAACCGGAGGAGAAAUUGCCCGAAGUCCAAUUGUGUCCACGGGCCAAACCAAAUUUUGUACAGGUUGAAACCAUAUUAUGAAGAUUGAUAAAACGAAAAUAGAGAGAAAAGGAUUUUCACAAUGAGUAUGGGCUAUUGGCCCAGCUAAAUGUGUGAGGUACAUGAUUAAACAAUUUAAUUGAAGAACUUGGUGUAGAUGCUUAGGAUGGGUCCAAUAAUAGAGUUAGGCAGAUUUGGGUUUGAGGCUCAAAAUAAUAGAAGUAUAUUGUAGUUGACGCAGUUACAUAACAUGUUUGAUAAAGGAGUGGGUAUGGAAAUGUAUGAUGGAUUCAAUAAUGUAUCAGUAGGGCAAAGAAUUGAAUCAGGGGUUUAAUUACUACCAAUUUUAGAAAAUAGCACCCACCCAAUAUGGCUGAUAAUAAUAAUAAGGAAAUAACAAAAAAAAAAAAAGAAAAUAAAAUAAUAACAAAAAUAAAAUAUAGAUAUAUAAAUAUGUGUAUGUGUUAGUUGGAGGGAAUUAUGAUUUCAAACUAGAUUUACAUAGUUAAGAAUAUGAAAGAUUAUGCGAACGACUUAUAAACGAUGUUAGGGUAAGGCAGUAUGUGGGUAAAUUAAAUGAAAUUAUGAGUAAUGGAUGUUCUCGUGAGAUCAAAAAGGGCUUAGUUGGGAACUAAUUAAGAGAGACUUUAUGUGAAAAGUUAAAAGAAUAAAAACAAACAAUAAAGAAAUGUUUGUCAUUAGAAAUGGAAUACUAGUAAUGUGAAACAUUCCCAAUUUAUAAUGAUAAAUUUCAUAAAAGUAAGGAAGAUUAUUAAAUAAGAAAAUGGAUCAAAUUAAGGAAAUUUUUUCAUAUAUGCAUAUGUAUGAAAUUAAAUCCUAUCAACGUAAGUGAUAAUGAACCCUAUUACAUGGUUGAUAUGGUUAGUGUGUGAGGUACCUGCUCUAUAAUAUGAUAAAGACGUAAAUGUAUUUAUUGUAUAAUGUACCUGCUAUGUGAUUUAGUAUAGACGUGAAUAUAUUUACUGAAUGAUGUACCUACUGUGUCACUUGGGGCACAGACAAGAAUGUAUUUACUAUGUGAUGUAUCCAUUGUGUGACCUGGUACAGACGUAGAUGUAUUAACUGUGUGAUGUAUCUAGUGUGUGAUCUGGUAUAGAUGUGAAUGUAUUUACUGUAUGAUGUUCCUGCUAUAUGAUCGAGUAUGAAUGUGAUGUUGUUGUUGUGAAAGAUACCNNNNN